ensembl:lncRNA
GACAGACAGACCUUUCAGCCAUGCUUGCACCUGGGGAGUCUUUCUUUGGCAGUGCUAAAUGGUGGCCAUUUGGAAGUUUUGACAUUACUGCUGUAUGGUUAGGACUGUUUUGUUUUUGUUUUUUUUUUCUUUAAAAAGCAGGAUCACCAAAAAGCAAGCUCUGCCAAACCAGUGGAGAGUUGGGAUUAAAAGAUGCAUGAACAACUCCUUGUCAAAAGCUGCCCUGGUUAUAAGCUAGGACCUAAGACAAAACCUCUUUGAUCUAUAGCAUUAAACAUUAAUAAUGUUAGCUAGGAGCCUGUAGUCAUUCUUUUACAUAACCAGUUCAGUGCUAACUUGUCUGCAUAAUAGGGCACUGACCAUUACUCUGCCAGCUCCGCUGUCUUCCAAAGGUUAAAGUCAUUUUCUCUGGCGUUCUUUGAUUCUUUCAGAAUAUAUUGAAUUAUAAUAAAUCGAAUCAAAGCAUCAGGAAGCUGAAAGAGCAGAUGUGGGUUUAACUAAAGAGUUCUUAGAUGCUUUGGUUCAAUCUUAAGUCCUGAUGUCUUGCUGUGGUAUAGCACAGCCAGAGGGACCAGCUGUAUAAUCCAGAUGUUGCUGAAAUCCUGUUUUGUGUGCAGAAAUCCGUGUCCUCAUCCAGGAUGUUGCCAACAGUUGAGACAAAGCAUUUCACAACACAGUCGAUUGCAGCAGUAGCUGGGGUCCUGUUGUGCACAGAGAAGAUGUGCCACCUGGAGAUGGCAGGUAGGAGGAAUGAAGACAGAAGCAGCACACUACAUUCAUGCCAAACAUCUUGCUUGUUGAGGUGCCUGUUUUUUCUUGAACAGUAAAAGCCCAACCCUGUACACUGAGCAAUAAUUCUCUUGGCAGACUUGAUGAGAAUGGGGUUUCUGGGUAGCAGCUGAACAGCCCAGUUGGGUCCUUAGAAUCCAUAGGCUGGAAAAUCUUAACUGGUUAUAGAUUGGGGUGCCAGUGAUGGUGGUGUUAUCUUGGUUUUGGCAAAUUUAGGAUUAAUUUCUCAAUUCAUUGGUGAGCUGCAAACAUGGGGAUGGAGAUCCUGGUUUAACUUUUGUUGUAAAUGGAAUGGAUGCUGGCCAUUAGGAAGCUUUUUCACCAUCUUCCUAACCUCAUUCCCAUAACAGACAGAAGCAAAAAACUCCAAAUGAUUCAAAGGGUAUAGGAUUAAGUAAAGAAGUGUGAUCCUUUGAUGACCAUACACCACCAAAUUAAAUCAUUGAUCAAAGAUUAGACUGUUCAAAUGAAGUGCAGUGAUGUGGAAAGCAGAAAAUUAGAGCAGCAACCCAAGUAAAUUCAGCAGUGACCAGCUCUGUUAGUUUGCUGUGUCUCUCUGCUGGACUUUAGUUUCUUUGAAAGUGUUUUUGGUCAUGAAUUGCAUUUUCUACAUGAGCUAGUAAAGUCUGUUGUAGUCCUCUGUCUGUUGUUUCAGCAGACAUCUUGGUUUGAUGAGUGUAGUAUCUUAUACAGAAUUACUGUUAACCCCUUCCUCUGCUCACAGGGAUGAUGAUUUUUAAAGGUGUCUUUUGAAAACUGAUGGCUCUCUGUAAUUUUUAUAAACACUUUUUUUUCC